rfam:Serratia sp. Leaf50 contig_4, whole genome shotgun sequence.
GAAGAGUGAGAGCUUUAUCGCUUAUUGCAAUCGGAAUUGUGGACAAAACCUGAAUCUGUUGCUGUACUGUUAUUGACACACGUUUUGUGUCUUACAUUCACGUUAAGGUAAGUUUGAUGUCUAAGAUUAAAGGUAGCGUUAAGUGGUUCAAUGAAUCAAAAGGUUUUGGUUUCAUUACCCCUGAAGAUGGCAGCAAAGAUGUUUUCGUUCAUUUCUCUGCUAUUUCAAGCAAUGGUUUCAAAACUCUUGCUGAAGGCCAACGUGUAGAGUUCGAAAUCACCAAUGGUGCCAAAGGCCCGUCGGCUGCUAACGUUAUCGCUAUCUAACUUUAGCCGAAUUCUGAAAAACCCGCCGAUGCGGGUUUUUUUUGU